rnacentral:lncRNA from 1 species
AGAUUCCCAAGUAAUCUUAUAAAUAGACCUAAUAUCAUGUAGGAUGCACUUGCAGAACAAAACUAAUAUAUUUUUCUAUUCUAUAUACCUAUAAAUAUCUUGACUACAUGGAUAAGCCUUCUUGGAAAAAGUCCCAUUCUGGGAAUAUAAGAGGAGAAGAGACAACAAGCCAAAAUCCUAGACUAUUUUCUCUUAUUUCUCUCU